UACAGAGGGUGCGAGCGUUAAUCGGAAUUACUGGGCGUAAAGCGCACGUAGGUGGCGACGUAAGUCGGGUGUGAAAUCCCUGGGCUCAACCUGGGAACGCAUUGGUGACUGCAUUGCUGGAGUAUGGCAGAGGGGGGUGGAAUUCCACGUGUAGCAGUGAAAUGCGUAGAGAUGUGGAGGAACACCGAUGGCGAAGGCAGCCCCCUGGGCCAAUACUGACGCUCAUGCACGAAAGCGUGGGAGCAAACAGG
rnacentral:rRNA from 1 species